CCAGGAACCGAGCCGGCUCCCCGCUCUCGCGAGAGCCCGGCCGCCGGCGUGCGGCGCGGCGGGAGGCAGUGCGCGGGCGCGAGCCGCCGCCUCGCCCCGGAGUGGAGGCGCCUUGGCAACGCCCGCUGUGACGUCACGGCCCGCCCCGGGGAGCGCGCGGCGGCGCAACGGCCGCCGGCAGCGGGGCGGGGCGUUGUUGGGACGGGGCGUGGCGGGCUCGCGCGGCCGGCGAGGCGUUGGGGCGGGCGGGGCCUGGCGCGUUCUGAGAGGCAGCGAGGGCCGAAGCGCGGAGAGCUGCCCGCCGCCCCGUUCCCCUCCUGCUAGCCGCGGUGCCUCUCGUUAGUAAAACGUAAUUUGCACCCUCAUCAAAAUACAACACAAGGAAGACACCACUGCGGUGAAGGAGCAGGUCUCCAUAAAAAAGUGGUUUUUUUCCAGGUCAGUCUAAUAGAAGAUAGUGAAUUGUGAAUAAACACUCGAACGUUCCCCAAAACGGGUGCGAGAGCUAACCGCUCAAGUCACCUUCCCUCACGUUCCGUGGUUGAAGGAGCCGGACGAAGUUUGUGCAUACAGCAGCAUGGUUCUACAGACCAACUGAAUGAAAAAAUAGUGUCUGCUGGCUUGAAUCAGCCACCGCGGGGUACAGGCCCCGGCUGCAGGACGCGACUGAGCUCACCGCCACGCGCGUGGCCUCUGCUCAGGCGAGGCGCACUCCCCCCGUCACCCCCGCUCGCCCUCCCAGCUGCCCCGACCAGGGCGCGCAUCCCAGAACAACCCUGGGGCGCACAAAAUGAAUGAAACUGAGCAGGAAGGUUACUGCUUUAGCUUCAACAUUUCACUUACUUCUGAGAAACUCUGCCUCUACCAUAGAGAUACAACUUACUGGGAAAAUGCCUGGCAACAAUGAUGGAUCCGGUAAGAAUCUUCAAGAGUAACUCAUGAUAAUUACUACAAAUGAUGGAUUUUAUAACUGCAAGAAAAUUUUGAGAGCCUCCAUAUUAACAACUUUAUUUUCUGUUCUAAACUGUAUGGGAUUUUUUUCUAUUCCAUUUUACCAUAAUAAACUAUUUCA